GAGGUAUUGAUAUGCGCACAAGAUUGGCUUCGAGAUAGCUUGCCUUAUCUUGCAGAUAUUCCACCUCCUCAUACAAAAUACAAGGUUGAAGAUUACGAAACUGUUGUUGAUAUUAAUACCGAUGAUUAGCUUAUGCUGGAUGGUGGUAAUCUAUCUUAACUGAUGUUCUUGAUUGUUUCUGCCGUGCGGGUGAUCCUUUA